CAUCUCCCAGGAUCUCAUCUGGAGAGUUUUCAGUCCUCUACUAGUCUCGGCUACGGGAGGGAGAGUCGAGCAGAGGCCUGUCCGUUCCAUUCUUAGCUCGGGCAGUGGCUAGCGAGUGGAAGGAGAUCUGCUACAAGU